rnacentral:lncRNA from 1 species
AGCUGAGUGACUAUGUACCUGAGAAUUAUUCUGAAUGCUCAUGGGGUGACCAUAUGGGCUGAGCUGGAGAUUAAAAUGCAUCUGAAUCUGUGUGUGAACAAAUCCAAAGCAAGCACUGGGACAUCCUAGAAACCAAGUCAGCUUGAUUCUCUCAUAUUGGGAAUGCUGUUGUAUACAGCUCUGGAAUUGCAUAUGAGGGUUUGUGAACCCAUG